CUACAGGCCGCCUGGCAGGGCCCUUAUAGGGUGGUGGAACAGAGGUGUGACACCACUUAUAUAAUAGGCUCUUGCGUUGGAACUGGAGGGCGCCGCAUGCUCCAUGUGAACAUGAUGAAGCCCUACCAGGAGUGACCGCAAUAUGUGCACCCAACUCGGAUGAGUUCGACAGCUUGCCUCUCCCAGACCUGCUGGGAGAUGGUCAGUUGUCU